AUGCAAGUCGANUGGGUUCAGACCCAUGGCAGACGAGGUAGGAACACGUAGGUACNUACCCCAAAGUCAGGGAUAAUCCGCCGAAAGGCGGGAUAAUACUUGAUGGUCUCUUCGGAGUAAAGAUUUAUCGCUUUGGGAACGGCCUGCGGGCUAUCAGCUAGUUGGUACGGUAACGGCGUACCAAGGCUACGACGGCUAGGGGAGGUGAGAGCCUGACCCCCACCGAUGGAACUGCGACACGGUCCAUACUCCUACGGGAGGCUGCAGUCGAGAAUCUUCCGCAAUGGACGAAAGUCUGACGGAGCGACGCCGCGUGGUGGAUGAAGUCCCUCGGGACGUAAACACCUUUUAUGAGGGAGGAAGUCAUUGACGUUACCUCAUGAAUAAGGGGCUCCUAACUCUGUGCCAGCAGGAGCGGUAAUACAGAGGCCCCAAGCAUUAUCCGGAUUUAUUGGGCGUAAAGGGUGCGUAGGCGGUUAUAUUAGUCAGGUGUUAAAUCCUGGGGCUCAACCUCAGAAUCGCAUUUGAAACGGUAUAACUAGAAUAAGUCAGAGGCAAGCAGAACUCACGGUGUAGGGGUGAAAUCCGUUGAUAUCGUGGGGAAUACCAAAUGCGAAGGCAGCUUGCUGGGACUUUAUUGACGCUAAGGCACGAAAGCGUGGGUAGCGAACGGGAUUAGAUACCCCGGUAGUCCACGCCCUAAACACUGUCUGUUGGCUAUAGGGAGUAUCGACCCUCUCUGUGGCGAAGCUAACGCGUUAAACAGACCGCCUGGNUAGUACGAGCGCAAGCUUAAAACUCAAAGGAAUAGANGGGGGCUCGCACAGCGGNGGNUCAUGAGGCUUAAUUCGUCGANANC
rnacentral:rRNA from 1 species